rnacentral:lncRNA from 1 species
AUGGCCUUUCUGAUUGGUUCAGGUCGCACUCUGUCAGCUGGGGGUGGGGCUCCAUUUAGAGCAUUCCCUAAAUCGCUGAGUUUGGAUUUUGGGGGUCUAAGCCACGCCCACAACACUCUAAGUUCUGCUGCUCCGUCCCCUGUCACUCAGGAUAAGUAUGCAGCCUUUUCACAGCUUGAUAAAGUGUUGGCAGACAACACACCUGUCACAGCCAUCACAACAGCUCCCUCUGAUGGACCGCCUCAGUAUAGCACCCUCUUUAGUAACCGACUAUCCUCCAGUUCCACCCCUGCAAGCUCCCCAGGUGUUCCAGAGGCCACCUCUGGAUCUCAAACGUUUGCAAAUUUCCCAAACCCCUUCAAUUCUACAGCCAGCUGCGCCCAGCCCGUUCUGUCUCCCAGUAACCCCUUCAAAAGCACAGCCUCAGGUGAGAAAUGUGCACCCGUGUUCACUUUAUAUUUUGACUUUAAGAAAACAGGAAGACUACAAUUCAGCAGCACAAUGCAGUUUUUGAAGUUUGAUGUUAUCAGCACUUUUGGAAAGAUAGGAUCAAUUUUUAUCUUUGCAUUCUAUCAAAUAAAAUAUGUUUAUGGACUGAGGUUAUCUUAGAAACUGACCAUUAAGAAAUGCAUUCAGUAGGUUCUUGACUGCAGAUUUACCAAGCCUUUAUUUUACCAGUGACAUACAUGGACAUUUCAAGGGUCAGCAUUAAUCUGAUUGUGGGACACAAGCCCAUAGUUAUGUCUUGUGAAGGAUACAUUUUUACAGUGCUAUAAAUCUGACAGAGUGUACUUGGCUUAAAAGGAACUUAAUCCAUAAAGCAAUGAAUCUGAUAAUCGGAUAUGCUGGUGUUCCCGUGCAGAACUAUUGUUGCGGAACUACUUCUAAUAAAUCAAAUAAAAUGCUUACUCCCACAAAUGCUGUAAACCUAGUGGCAGAUCUCAAAGCCAACAAAAACAGUGAUGUCACCUGGUGAAAUUCCAAUGCAAAGAGAGUGGUCUGUUGGAUUUAUUAUUGGCUGAAUUAAUAGUGUCAGAGGAAAUAAUACACUUCGUUUUUAGCUGUCAGCACAUUUAUCUUGAAUUCCUGAACACUGACUUCAAACAUGCAAACUGUCUUUUACAUCACAAAGUAAAACACAACACUAUAUGUGACCCCGGACCACAAAACCAGUCUUAAGUCGCUGGGGUACAGUCGUGGCCAAAAGUUUUGAGAAUUACAUAAAUAUUAGUUUUCAAAAAGUUUGCUGCUAAACUGCUUUUAGAU